rnacentral:rRNA from 1 species
ACCUACGGGGGGCAGCAGUGAGGAAUAUUGGUCAAUGGACGAAAGUCUGAACCAGCCAUGCCGCGUGCAGGAAGACGGCUCUAUGAGUUGUAAACUGCUUUUGUACAAGGGUAAACCUGAAUACGUGUAUUCAGCUGAAAGCACUGUACGAAUAAGGAUCGGCUAACUCCGUGCCAGCAGCCGCGGUAAUACGGAGGAUGCGAGCGUUAUCCGGAUUUAUUGGGUUUAAAGGGUGCGUAGGCGGUCCGGAAAGUCAGCGGUAAAAGCACGGGGCUCAACCCCGGCGAGCCGUUGAAACUGUCGGG